rnacentral:rRNA from 1 species
CGGGACGGGUGAGUAAUAUCUGGGAAACUGCCUGAUGGAGGGGGAUAACUACUGGAAACGGUAGCUAAUACCGCAUAACGUCGCAAGACCAAAGAGGGGGACCUUCGGGCCUCUUGCCAUCGGAUGUGCCCAGAUGGGAUUAGCUAGUAGGUGGGGUAACGGCUCACCUAGGCGACGAUCCCUAGCUGGUCUGAGAGGAUGACCAGCCACACUGGAACUGAGACACGGUCCAG